rnacentral:tRNA from 1 species
GGGGCAUUAGCUCAUUUGGCUAGAGCGCUUCGCUGGCAGCGAAGAGGUGGUCAGUUCGAAUCUGAUAUGCUCCAC